GAUGAACGCUGGCGGCAUGCCUUACACAUGCAAGUCGAACGGCAGCACGGGGCAACCUGGUGGCGAGUGGCGAACGGGUGAGUAAUGCAUCGGAACGUGCCAUUGAGUGGGGGAUAACGUAGCGAAAGUUGCGCUAAUACCGCAUAUUCUGUGAGCAGGAAAGCAGGGGACCGCAAGGCCUUGCGCUCUUUGAGCGGCCGAUGUCAGAUUAGCUAGUUGGUGAGGUAACGGCUUACCAAGGCGACGAUCUGUAGCGGGUCUGAGAGGAUGAUCCGCCACACUGGAACUGAGACACGGUCCAGACUCCUACGGGAGGCAGCAGUGGGGAAUUUUGGACAAUGGGCGCAAGCCUGAUCCAGCCAUGCCGCGUGAGUGAAGAAGGCCU
rnacentral:rRNA from 1 species